rnacentral:rRNA from 1 species
UACGUAGGGGGCAAGCGUUGUCCGGAUUUAUUGGGCGUAAAGAGCGUGUAGGCGGCUAGAUAGGUCCGUUGUGAAAACUCGAGGCUCAACCUCGAGACGUCGAUGGAAACCAUCUGGCUAGAGUCCGGAAGAGGAGAGUGGAAUUCCUGGUGUAGCGGUGAAAUGCGCAGAUAUCAGGAAGAACACCCGUGGCGAAGGCGGCUCACUGGCCCGGUACUGACGCUGAGGUGCGAAAGCGUGGGGAGCAAACAGG